rnacentral:rRNA from 1 species
GAUGAACGCUGGCGGCGUGCCUAAUACAUGCAAGUAGAACGCUGAAGGAGGAGCUUGCUCUUCUGGAUGAGUUGCGAACGGGUGAGUAACGCGUAGGUAACCUGCCUGGUAGCGGGGGAUAACUAUUGGAAACGAUAGCUAAUACCGCAUGACAACAGUUAUUGCAUGAUAACUGUUUAAAAGGGGCAACUGCUCCACUACCAGAUGGACCUGCGUUGUAUUAGCUAGUUGGUGAGGUAACGGCUCACCAAGGCGACGAUACAUAGCCGACCUGAGAGGGUGAUCGGCCACACUGGGACGGAGACACGGCCCAGACUCCUACGGGAGGCAGCAGUAGGGAAUCUUCGGCAAUGGACGGAAGUCUGACCGAGCAACGCCGCGUGAGUGAAGAAGGUUGUCGGAUCGUAAAGCUCUGUUGUAAGAGAAGAACGAGUGUGAGAGUGGAAAGUUCACACUGUGACGGUAUCUUACCAGAAAGGGACGGCUAACUACGUG